GUCCAUGCCGUAAACGUUGUAUACUAGGUGCGGGAGGUAUCGACCCCUUCCGUGCCGAAGCUAACGCAUUAAGUAUACCGCCUGGGGAGUACGCGCGCAAGCGUGAAACUCAAAGGAAUUGACGGGGCCCGCACAAGCGGUGGAGCAUGUGGUUUAAUUCGAGGCAACGCGAAGAACCUUACCCAGGCUUGACAUCCCAAGACCGCCUAUGAAAGUAGGUUUUCCCUUCGGGGACUUGGAGACAGGUGUUGCAUGGCUGUCGU
rnacentral:rRNA from 1 species